rnacentral:rRNA from 1 species
ACGUGAGCAACCUGCCCCGGACUCUGGGAUAAGCGCUGGAAACGGCGUCUAAUACUGGAUACGAGAAGCGACCGCAUGGUCAGUUUCUGGAAAGAUUUUUUGGUCUGGGAUGGGCUCGCGGCCUAUCAGCUUGUUGGUGAGGUAAUGGCUCACCAAGGCGUCGACGGGUAGCCGGCCUGAGAGGGUGACCGGCCACACUGGGACUGAGACACGGCCCAGACUCCUACGGGAGGCAGCAGUGGGGAAUAUUGCACAAUGGGCGGAAGCCUGAUGCAGCAACGCCGCGUGAGGGAUGACGGCCUUCGGGUUGUAAACCUCUUUUAGCAGGGAAGAAGCGAAAGUGACGGUACCUGCAGAAAAAGCGCCGGCUAACUACGUGCCAGCAGCCGCGGUAAUACGUAGGGCGCAAGCGUUAUCCGGAAUUAUUGGGCGUAAAGAGCUCGUAGGCGGUCUGUCGCGUCUGCUGUGAAAUCCCGAGGCUCAACCUCGGGCCUGCAGUGGGUACGGGCAGACUAGAGUGCGGUAGGGGAGAUUGGAAUUCCUGGUGUAGCGGUGGAAUGCGCAGAUAUCAGGAGGAACACCGAUGGCGAAGGCAGAUCUCUGGGCCGUAACUGACGCUGAGGAGCGAAAGGGUGGGGAGCAAACAGGCUUAGAUACCCUGGUAGUCCACCCCGUAAACGUUGGGAACUAGUUGUGGGGUCCUUUCCACGGAUUCCGUGACGCAGCUAACGCAUUAAGUUCCCCGCCUGGGGAGUACGGCCGCAAGGCUAAAACUCAAAGGAAUUGACGGGGACCCGCACAAGCGGCGGAGCAUGCGGAUUAAUUCGAUGCAACGCGAAGAACCUUACCAAGGCUUGACAUACACGAGAACGGGCCAGAAAUGGUCAACUCUUUGGACACUCGUGAACAGGUGGUGCAUGGUUGUCGUCAGCUCGUGUCGUGAGAUGUUGGGUUAAGUCCCGCAACGAGCGCAACCCUCGUUCUAUGUUGCCAGCACGUUAUGGUGGGAACUCAUGGGAUACUGCCGGGGUCAACUCGGAGGAAGGUGGGGAUGACGUCAAAUCAUCAUGCCCCUUAUGUCUUGGGCUUCACGCAUGCUACAAUGGCCGGUACAAAGGGCUGCGAUACCGUAAGGUGGAGCGAAUCCCAAAAAGCCGGUCCCAGUUCGGAUUGAGGUCUGCAACUCGACCUCAUGAAGUCGGAGUCGCUAGUAAUCGCAGAUCAGCAAC